rnacentral:rRNA from 1 species
AAUGCGUAGAGAUCAGGAAGAACACCGGUGGCGAAGGCGCUCUGCUGGGCUAUAACUGACACUGAGGGACGAAAGCUAGGGGAGCGAAUGGGAUUAGAUACCCCAGUAGUCCUAGCGGUAAACGAUGGAAACUAGGUGUGGCCUGUAUCGACCCGGGCCGUGCCGAAGCAAACGCGUUAAGUUUCCCGCCUGGGGAGUACGCACGCAAGUGUGAAACUCAAAGGAAUUGACGGGGGCCCGCACAAGCGGUGGAGUAUGUGGUUUAAUUCGAUGCAACGCGAAGAACCUUACCAGGACUUGACAUCUCUGGAAUCUCCUUGAAAGGGGAGAGUGCC